rnacentral:rRNA from 1 species
GUGGGGAAUCUUGCGCAAUGGGCGAAAGCCUGACGCAGCCAUGCCGCGUGAAUGAUGAAGGUCUUAGGAUUGUAAAAUUCUUUCACCGGGGACGAUAAUGACGGUUCCCGGAGAAGAAGCUCCGGCUAACUUCGUGCCAGCAGCCGCGGUAAUACGAAGGGGGCUAGCGUUGCUCGGAAUUACUGGGCGUAAAGGGCGCGUAGGCGGACAGCUUAGUCAGAGGUGAAAGCCCAGGGCUCAACCUUGGAAUUGCCUUUGAUACUGGCUGUCUUGAGUUUGGGAGAGGUGAGUGGAACUCCGAGUGUAGAGGUGAAAUUCGUAGAUAUUCGGAAGAACACCAGUGGCGAAGGCGACUCACUGGCCCAAUACUGACGCUGAGGCGCGAAAGCGUGGGGAGCAAACAGGAUUAGAUACCCGAGUAGUCC